CUCAAAGCCGGAAGCCGGGUCUUGGCGGCAGUCGACAGGAUCGCCUGACGCGGGCACAGCGUCCUCCAAGAGGCCACCUUGCUGAGAGGCAGACUUCCCAUCCACAAAAUGGGAACCAUCUCUUCGAAGUGGAAUAUGGAGACAAUGGCGACAGCAAAGCCAAGCAGCAUCACACUGGCCACCACCACAUCAUGCCUGGAGGAGCCAAAGCCACUGUCUCAACUAGCGGGCUGGGCUGCCACUCAUUGCUGCUCUGCCUGCUAGGCACCCUGAU
rnacentral:lncRNA from 1 species